rnacentral:lncRNA from 10 species
GGGGGAGCCUGGGAAGGGCUGGCGGAGAGGGAAGGUCUAGAUGGUCCUAGGGGGAUAACAGGGCCUGGGCUGUGCCCAUCUUAUAGAUGGGAAUAGUGAGUCCUGGGAACUUAGCUAAGGCACAGGUAAGCUUCUCUAGACACUAUGCAGUGAAUCUGACGAAAGCGCCAGGGUUCCGGCUUCCACUUCCUUGUUCAGUGUCUUUAUUCGGGAUGUCUCACCUGUGCUGUCCAAGAAGGGCGUUGCAAACAGUUUGGUAUCUCAGAAGGCAGAGAGAGAGACACACACACAGAAAGAGAGGAGGAGAAUCAACCAGGUGUCUCAGCCAUGAAUCUAGGGGUGAGAAAAGAAACCUCCCCUCACCUACAAGGUCAAAGCGCAGGUAUGGGUCCUGGCAGGACCCAUCAGCAGAAUCUGGCUGGAAAACUCUCACGCUAAAAACAGAACUGCCGAGGAUCUUUGAUGUCUUCCUCAUGAUGGCCCUCCACGCACAUCUGCGGGUCACGCUUCUCCAACCGUGAAGGCAGUCCUUUCAG